GAUGAACGCUGGCGGCGUGCCUAAUACAUGCAAGUCGAGCGAACAGACGAGGAGCGUGCUCCUCUGACGUGAGCGGCGGACGGGUGAGUAACACGUGGAUAACCUACCUAUAAGACUGGGAUAACUUCGGGAAACCGGAGCUAAGACCGGAUAACAUGUUGAACCGCAUGGUUGAAAAGUGAAAGACGUGCUUGCUGUCACUUAUAGAUGGAUCCGCGCCGCAUUAGCUAGUUGGUAAGGUAACGGCUUACCAAGGCAACGAUGCGUAGCCGACCGGAGAGGGUGAUCGGCCACACUGGAACUGAGACACGGUCCAGACUCCUACGGGAGGCAGCAGUAGGGAAUCUUCCGCAAUGGGCGAAAGCCUGACGGAGCAACGCCGCGUGAGUGAUGAAGGUCUUCGGAUCGUAAAACUCUGUUAUUAGGGAAGAACAAAUGUGUAAGUAACUAUGCACGUCUUGACGGUACCUAAUCAGAAAGCCACGGCUAACUACGUG
rnacentral:rRNA from 1 species